UGGUUCCGGCAUCGAUGAAGAACGCAGCGAAAUGCGAUAACUAAUACGAAUUGCAGAAUUCAGUGAAUCAUCGAGUCUUUGAACGCACAUUGCGCCCGCGAGUAUUCUCGCAGGCAUGCCUGUCCGAGCGUUGUUAAGCCCACUCGAGCCCUGCUCGGCGUUGGGGCGCGCGGGUCCCUCAGCGGCCCGCGGCCCCGAAGGCUAGCGGCGGCGGCCCCGGAAGCCCUCUGCGUAGUGAAACCCUCGCACCGGGCGCCCUCGGCGCGCCAGCCCACCAACGGAGCCCUAGGCUCGCUCACGGUCAGCCUCGGAUCAGGUAGGGAUACCCGCUGA
rnacentral:misc_RNA from 1 species